UUUCCCCAAUCCGCGCCCUGUUUCCUCACCCGACCCGUGCUCUAUGGCACCGAUGCCGCCUAACCGACGCGCCGACGUCGCUAACGCUCGCGUCGGUUCCUCUCCUCAGGGCAUACAAAAUCGCUGGCCAGAGGAGGCUUCGAGUCCUCCUCCUUCCUCUUCCUCACGAGUUAGCCCUAAUCUCCACCGAAGCAUCUCCUUCCCUUUCCUCCCCCGAUCGUCGGCCAAUCUGCCACCAAUCCCGAUCGCCGCGAGCUCACCGUCAGCAGAGAUCUUCUUCUUCUUCUUGGUGCUUCACCUACGUCGAGCUACCUUGGCUACCGGCGGUCGAUCCUCUCCUCCCUUUCUCUCCCGCGGUCUUUGCCCUAGAUCGCCAACGCACCAAUUCUAGCGAUCACCCGAGACGAUCGCGACAGAUCUGUUUCCUUAAGCAUCCUCAUUCCUCUGUCUGUGCUAGGUCUGGGCAGACGUUGGCUAAUUGGGGAUCGGUAGUAUCACCGAUACUCUGCUUCACAAAUCGGAUCGGGCGACAUUUUCUGGAGGCGAUCAAUUGAGAAUUUAGGUGUGGGGUGUUUUUGUUUUUGGUUCGGCAGCAACCCAUCCAUCAGUGUUCCUUGUUUCAGCAUCAACAGUAGCUGGGAAUUGAGGAUUUAGAUUCGAGACGAGCACUUCGACAUAGAGGUUUAUUAGCUCGAUCUACAUUGGAGGUUGAGGCUGUUCAGGAGGUUCCAGUCGCUAGUCACACACCACUGCGCGUCGCGACGAGUUCACACAUAACGGUUUUCUUAUUAUGUUAGACUAUGUUUUCAGACUUAUAGCUUUUGACAUAUGGAUAUUGUAUGGUUUUGUUAUUUGGCGAUGGAUUUUCAUUUGGAUGUAUGCUGGAGUUUUGUGCUUUAUGGGAGUAGUUGAGUAGAAUAUCA